CAGAAUAUCUGGGACGAGCAU
rnacentral:miRNA from 1 species